CUCGUACACUUGACUGUUCUGUUGGUCCACACAGCACAAAUGGGGCUCACACAUGGUGAAUGCUCUACAUCAGAGUUCUCAUUCAUCUAGGGUAAGAACCCCCGGUUUCCCAGGAGGGUCAACGAAGAAACUUUGGGUUUCACAAUUCCCUUGCAGGUGGUUCAGCGACAUCCUGAAGGCCCCUUUCUGGCAAUUGCUCAAGAGCAGCCAUUUUCCAUGGAUGAUCAUAUGGAAGCAUUAUUUCCAUUUUUAGAGGAAAGAAAACCCAUGCCCAUUGGUUAGCUGACUUGUAACUAGGUCAUACAGACAUAGGUCAGGCCUUGAUUGAGGCCAGCAGAUUUGAGGUUAGGUGUUUUAUUUCUAUUUUUGGGAAGUCAAACAUUCAUCUUGAAGACAACAGCAGAUCCAGAUCUGGAAGGACAUUACUCUGGUUUAAUGUAAAAUGUUACAACUUUCAUGACUUCUUUCAUAUGUCUUUUGAACCUUGCAUCUUUUGGAGGACACAUAAGCAAUAUAAGCAUGGAAAGAAAGCUUUAUUUGUGUUAUUGUCGUUAUUUGUUCAUUUUGUUUUACUUUGGCUACUUCUACUCUCUUCUCUUCCCCACCUCUGCAAUAGCUAAAGAAAAAAAAACAACAUUUUCAAUGCUUUAGGGGACACUUUAUCCUCUUAUUAAAAAAUUCUAAAUAAAUUUACCUUAGAUACACAGCCAUCUGCAAGAAUAUUACCACAUCUUUUGGUAUUUCCAAAAAAGAAUAAAUAAUUCAAAAAGACAUUGAAUCCUGACUAUUUUUAACUAGGCAAAGCUUAAUUCACAGUGCCUGCCUAACAUUGACAAGAUAGCUUGUCCCUUGCAGGGAAAUAUCAUUGAUAUCUCUCAUCAGCAACCCACGGGGAGAGCCUCUUGUCAAAAUUUGAAUUCAGAAGACAGAAUGAUUGGGCUACUUUUUAGGGCAUAAUAAAAGUUGCAAUUUAAACAGGCUUGAAGAUAUUCACAGAGUCUGUAUCUAACAAUAAGUGUAGUUGCACUAUAAAUGUUUCACAUAAGACGGAGAUAGUUUUAAACCAACAAAGAC
rnacentral:lncRNA from 1 species